rnacentral:rRNA from 1 species
UACGAAGGGGGCUAGCGUUGUUCGGAAUUACUGGGCGUAAAGCGCGCGUAGGCGGAUAUUUAAGUCAGGGGUGAAAUCCCGGGGCUCAACCCCGGAACUGCCUUUGAUACUGGGUAUCUCGAGUCCGAGAGAGGUGAGUGGAAUUCCGAGUGUAGAGGUGAAAUUCGUAGAUAUUCGGAGGAACACCAGUGGCGAAGGCGGCUCACUGGCUCGGUACUGACGCUGAGGUGCGAAAGCGUGGGGAGCAACAGG